CUUAAAAAAAUCGAUUACUCUUUACACUUUUGAAAAUGGCCAUGGAAGAAGAAAACAAGCAUGAAAUUAUUCGGUUCUUGGCAGACUAUCCCCUACAGUGUGGGGCUACUGCUUUGCUUCCAUUUCUUCUCAUGAUUCAGAAUUUCAAUCAUACAGGUGGGUGGAACUGCUUAAAGAAAAGAUGAAGGAUAUGUUAGUUCAGCUUGUCAAAGAUUUAAUCCAAAAAAUUGAGUUGGUCAACUUAUUAUGCCGUUUUGAUGUGUCGUAUAAUUUUGAUAAUGAGAUUGAACAACAAAUUAAUCAUAUUUUCAUUCAACUGCCUAUAAACAUUGAUGAUAAUAAUUAUGAUCUUUACAGUAUAGUACUUCUAUUUCGAGUUAUGAGACAAUACAGAUACAAAAUUUUUGAAUAAUUAUUAAAAUAUUAUCUAAUAAUAUUAAGAAUAAUUUCACAAUAAUUAUCAAUAUAUUAUUGCUUAAACUUUAAAAUAUAGUAGUGUGAGGAGAGCCAACGAAUAUAUUUAAAAAAAUAAAAAUUAAUUGUGUAAUAUCAUGUAUUAAAAAAUUAAAUUUUUAUUUUUAAAAUAUAGAAGUGAAACUGCUCAAACAAAAAGUGAAUAUUUUAAUGCAGUCUGCACAAAAGUUAAUUGAUAAAAUUGAGUUUAUCAAUUUAUUAUAUCCUCUUGAUAUGUCGAAUCAUUUUAAAAAUGAAAUUGAAGAACAUAUCUUCAAUAUCCUUCCUGAUCUUCUUGCUGAAAAUGAUUAUGACCUCCACACUCUGGCUCUUCUAUUUCAAGUUCUCAGACAAUAUGGAUACCAAGAUGCCUUGUGGUAAGUAUAAUAAUUUCAUAGAAAAUGGAUUAAUCACAAGCACUUGCAGUGUACUUCCAUCAGCUUUCUUCAUCGGAAUGGAAAAGGUUAUCAGAACCAAGGAGUAUUAUUGGUUGGAAACUAAUCUUAAAAUCAUUGUAGCUUCCAAGUUAAUUUGUCGUUUGAUGGACGACGUUACCAUCAGAGAGGAUGAGCAAAGAAGAGGACAUUGUGCUUCAAGCGUGGAGUGCUACGUACAUGAAAGAACAUGGAGUAUCAGAAAAGGAAGCAAUUGGAGAAAUUCAGAAAAUGUGUGAAAAUGCAUGGAAGGACAUGAACGAAGCAUGCAUGAAGCCAACUGCUGUCCCAAGGGCUCUUCUCAAGUAUUAUGUAAACCUUGCAAGAGUGAUUGAUUUUGUUUACAAGUACAUGGAUUCCUACACAUAUGCUUCCAGUCUCAAAGAGGACAUCUCCUCAUUGUUUCUUGGGCAACUGCCCAUGUAAACAUCCACUGCUUCUUUUCAUCUGGGUCCCUAAUGCCUAAUGGAAUUUAAUUAAAUAGGCUAGAUUUUGUGAAAUUUGUUGUUUGGUGUUUCAAGUUUGAAGUUGCUGGUCAGAGUUUCUCAGUUGCUAUGCAUUUGAAUCUUGUAUCAGGUUUUCUUACCUAAUAUGAUUGGAAUAGAUUGAACUUGUUUUAUGAAGUUUUUCUGAUUCUUUAUUAUUAACAAAUGAAAAAGUU